CGGGCAGUGGCUCAGUGGUAGGACUCCCGCUUUGGAUGCGGGAAGACCUGGGUUCGAUUCCCGGCUGUUUCC
rnacentral:tRNA from 1 species